GACGAACGCUGGCGGCGUGCCUAAUACAUGCAAGUCGAGCGAAUUUUUGGGAGCUUGCUCCCAAAGGUUAGCGGCGGACGGGUGAGUAACACGUGGGCAACCUGCCUAUAAGACUGGGAUAACUUCGGGAAACCGGAGCUAAUACCGGAUAAUUCAUAUCUACUCAUGUAGGUAUGCUGAAAGACGGUUUACGCUGUCACUUAUAGAUGGGCCCGCGGCGCAUUAGCUAGUUGGUGAGGUAACGGCUCACCAAGGCAACGAUGCGUAGCAGACCUGAGAGGGUGAUCGGCCACACUGGGACUGAGACACGGCCCAGACUCCUACGGGAGGCAGCAGUAGGGAAUCUUCCGCAAUGGACGAAAGUCUGACGGAGCAACGCCGCGUGAGUGAUGAAGGUUUUCGGAUCGUAAAACUCUGUUGUUAGGGAAGAACAAGUACUAGAGUAACUGCUAGUACCUUGACGGUACCUAACCAGAAAGCCACAGCUAACUACGUGCCAGCCGCCGCGGUAA
rnacentral:rRNA from 1 species